rnacentral:rRNA from 1 species
CGGCGUGCCUAAUACAUGCAAGUCGAGCGAGCGGAACUAACAGAUUUACUCGGUAAUGACGUUAGGAAAGCGAGCGGCGGAUGGGUGAGUAACACGUGGGGAACCUGCCCCAUAGUCUGGGAUACCACUUGGAAACAGGUGCUAAUACCGGAUAAGAAAGCAGAUCGCAUGAUCAGCUUUUAAAAGGCGGCGUAAGCUGUCGCUAUGGGAUGGCCCCGCGGUGCAUUAGCUAGUUGGUAAGGUAAAGGCUUACCAAGGCGAUGAUGCAUAGCCGAGUUGAGAGACUGAUCGGCCACAUUGGGACUGAGACACGGCCCAAACUCCUACGGGAGGCAGCAGUAGGGAAUCUUCCACAAUGGACGCAAGUCUGAUGGAGCAACGCCGCGUGAGUGAAGAAGGUUUUCGGAUCGUAAAGCUCUGUUGUUGGUGAAGAAGGAUAGAGGUAGUAACUGGCCUUUAUUUGACGGUAAUCAACCAGAAAGUCACGGCUAACUACGUGCC